AUGUUGGCAUAUAGCUCUCUGCAACUCUCACAUGGUCACUCACUGAAGCUAAGCACGGCUGCGCCCGGUCAGUACCUGGAUGGGUGACCACAUGAGAAAGCUAGGUUGCUGCUGGA
rfam:Danio rerio chromosome 11, GRCz11 reference primary assembly.